UCACAUUACUUCAUCUAUACUGGACACAAUUCGUACCUCACCGGAAAUCAACUCAGCAGCGAUUGCAGCGAUGUUCCGAUUAUCAAUGCUUUGAGAAGUGGUGUUAGGGUCAUUGAAUUAGAUCUAUGGCCUGCAGCCAAAGAUAAUAUAUGUGUCCGACAUGGAAGGUAACAAAUAUAGGAUAACUUACCACACUACAAAUUCAGUUUUGUCUACUUUUUUUUAUAAUGUUAGAUGAAAAUGAAUGAGAAUAGAUGAUGUUGUUUGAGGUGAGGUUGUCUGUACCUGAAACUCGUCACGGUCGAUCACCAGAUCUGAUCGAUCGUAAUUUCAAUCCUACGGCCGUAAUGAAGUACCGUACCUCAUCGCAAGCUGGUAUCUCAUUGCGGUGGUGAACGAUACCCGAUUGCGAUGGAUUUGGGCGAUAGAACCCAUCGCGGUUUGUCCCCAACCACCGAACCGCGUGUCGGAACCACGAUGGGUUCGGGCGAUGGAACCAAUCGUGGUUCUUCCCUAACCGCCCGAACCGCGUACCGGAACUGCGAUGGGUUUCAGAUCGCCGGUGGUUUGCGAACCUCAUGCCGGUAGUAUGGUCAGACUUCAACUUUCAGCCCGGAAUUCAGGGCGGGAGAAAGACGGUUAUGAGUGACCUAGGGAUGUGGACAGUGAGAUUGGUUGACCG
rnacentral:lncRNA from 1 species